rnacentral:lncRNA from 1 species
GCCAGCAGUUGCAACCUGCUCAGGUCCCCUUCUACACUGUGGAAGCUUUGUUCUUUCGCUCUUUGCAAUAAAUCUUGCUACUGCUCACUCUUUGGGUCCACUCUGCUUUUAUGAGCUGUAACACUCACCGCGAAGGUCUGCAGCUUCACUCCUGAAGCCAGUGAGACCACGAGCCCACCUGGAGGAAGGAACAACUCCAGAGGCCCUGCCUUAAGAGCUGUAACACUCACCGCGAAGGUCUGCAGCUUCACUCCUGAAGCCAGCGAGACCACGAGCCCACCUGGAGGAACAAACAACUCCAGAGGCGCCGCCUUAAGAGCUGUAACACUCACCGCGAAGGUCUGCAGCUUCACUCCUGAGCCAGCGAGACCACGAACCCACCAGAAGGAAGAAACUCCGAAAACAUCUUAACAUCAGAAGGAACAAAUUCCAGACGCGCCAUCUUAAGAGCUGUAACACUCACCGCGAGGGGCGUGGCUUCAUGCUUGAAGUCAGUGAGACCAAGAACCCACCAAUUCUGGACACAUUAUGACCUUUGUUUCCUGCCAUGGAAGAAAAUUUAAAUUCCCAGGCUGAAGAAGCAAAUUAGGCCUCUCAAGCAGAAACCAACAGCACUGUGAAAACAGACUAAUACAUAC